AGGCGUGCUUGGUAUCAAAUCGAAGCUUGGAACAUCCUCUUCAAUUCUAGGUAGGUGGCUGGUCGUGUUGCGCCGCCGUGAGGGAGGAAUCACGCCGAGAAGGAGCGGCUGUGCGUGGUGGAGUUUCACCGAAAACUCUCUUUUCCGGCCACCAUAGCCGGAGCUGUUGGUCUCAACUUGAAGCUCUCCCUCCCAGCAGCUAAACCCUAAAAGGAUUCAUCCUAACUCGAGCUAGGUAAGGAGAAUCGAAGGUUUGAAUCUUCUAGGGUUCUUGAUUGUGUUUUUGUUUGAUUGAUAUGUUUAAGCUUGAAAUUAGACUUAGUGAUAGUUAUAAAAGUUGUUUGGGAUGUUGAGAGGAAGAUGUUGUUAAAAUUUGGUAGCCAGCGGGGGUCGCCGGAGUUGGCCGCCGGUCGCCGCUGCGGGCUGAGCAGACGGCGGCGCUGCCGCUGUAAAGGGGCUUUUCAGGGUUUUAAAUGUGUUAUGUUAAGAGGAGUUUAUUGAAGUAUAGUUUGGAAUUUUUGGAUGAGUUUCGGUUAGGUUUAGAAUUUUUCGAAGAUUGGAGAAAAUGUCGGUUAUUAGAAUGAAAAUCCAACCGUUGGAUUUCCUUGGUAUUUAUUAUAGAAUGUUAGAAUUGAUGAAUUAAGGUUGUGGUGGAGUUUGGUGUGAAUCCGGCGAGUUUAACCCUAUUAAGAGUAGAGGGUUAAACGGAGGAGAGUUAGAUAUUUUAAUUCACGUAUUUUUUUCUGGAAUUGAAGUUUGGUUCUAAGCAUGGUUGUUGUGCCAGGAUGCGAAGGGAACCUCGCUUGAGUGGCGAUGCGGUUAUCGUCGGGCUUAUGCCUAAAUUUGUGAGUGGACAUUUUGGUUUUAAAAAUAAAUAUGCAUGCAAGAUUUUAUAAUCUAACAUUUUAUUUUUCCGAGCAUAUAAUAUAAUUUUUCAGUUCAUGAGAUGAGCUUG
rnacentral:lncRNA from 1 species